rnacentral:rRNA from 1 species
GACGAACGCUGGCGGCGUGCUUAACACAUGCAAGUCGUACGGUAAGGCCCUUUCGGGGGUCCACGAGUGGCGCACGGGUGAGUAACACGUGAGUAACCUGCCCACAACUUUGGGAUAACGCUAGGAAACUGGUGCUAAUACUGGAUAUGUGCUCCUGCUGCAUGGUGGGGGUUGGAAAGCUCCGGCGGUUGUGGAUGGACUCGCGGCCUAUCAGCUUGUUUGUGGGGUAGUGGCCUACCCAGGCGGCGACGGGUAGCCGGCCUGAGAGGGUGACCGGCCACAUUGGGACUGGGAUACGGCCCAGACUCCUACGGGAGGCAGCAGUGGGGAAUAUUGCACAAUGGGCGCAAGCCUGAUGCAGCAACGCCGCGUGCGGGAUGACGGCCUUCGGGUUGGAAACCGCUUUCAGCAGGGACGAAGCUUUUUGUGACGGUACCUGCAGAAGAAGCACCGGCUAACUACGUG